UCGGAACGUAUCCCGUAGAGGGGGAUAGCUCGGCGAAAGCCGGAUUAAUACCGCAUAUGCUCUACGGAGGAAAGCAGGGGACCCUGAGGGUAACCGAGGGGCCUUGCGCUAUGGGAGCGGCCGAUGUCCGAUUAGCUUAUUGGUGAGGUAAAGGCUUACCAAGGCGACGAUCGGUAGCUGGUCUGAGAGGAUGAUCAGCCACACUGGGACUGAGACACGGCCCAG
rnacentral:rRNA from 1 species